CAAAUCCCUGCUGUACUGAGGAUGCAACUUGAGUCAAGGGCUCCACUCCAGAGGAAAGCAAAAUCCCUGGUCAACCCUCCCAACAGGGGACCUGCUGUCCUGUAUGUUGCUUUUGGUCUUCAGGACCCUGUCCUUAAACAAUCUUCAGUGUUGUGCUGCAGGCUCUAGUAUCCAUGCCCGUGAGCCCUCAAGCCUGAAGACACAGUCAAGGAUGCUCCUUGAGGCUCAGGCACGGAUGAGGACAGAGCACAGAUGGUCCAAACUACCCACGGUGGAGGUCAGGAACAGAGUCCUCUCUUAGAGCUCAGAAUCCUGUGCCCACAGGCCUUGUCUGGGAAGACCGGACCCCUUCCAGAGCCUGCAGGCAAGAAGGGGAUUCCAUUGCUCCCUGUGGAUGUCCAGACAUAAGAAGUCUCUGAAAUGCUACUGACUGAGGUGCCAGGCAGCAGCUAAUUCUAAAGCUCGUAGUAGAAGACUUUUUUUUUUUUUUUUUUUUUUUUUGGUGUGUGAUCAACAAUGGCAACAUGGCAAUAGGAAAAGGAUACUUUCUCAAGAAACAUUUUAUAGUAAUACUAUUGUGUGUGCUAUGUGUGUGUGAAUGAGGGGGUGUGUGUUAUGUGUGUUUGUGUGAGGGUAUAUAUGUGUAUAUGUGUGUAUGUAUUAUGUGUGUUUGUGUGAGGGUGUGUAUGUAUGUGUGUUAUGUGUGUUUGUGUGAGGGUGUAUAUGUGUGUGUGUUUUGUGUGUUUGUGUGAGGGUGUAUAUGUGUGUGUGUUAUGUGUGUUUGUGUGAGGGUGUAUAUGUGUGUAUGUGUUAUAUGUGUUUGUGUGUGGGUGUAUAUGUGUGUAUNNNNNNNNNNGUGUGUGUUAUAUGUGUUUGUAUGAGGGUGUAUAUGUGUGUGUAGUGUGUGUUAUAUGUGUUUGUAUGAGGGUGUAUAUGUGUGUGUAGUGUGUGUUAUAUGUGUUAGUAUGAGGGUGUAUAUGUGUGUAUGUGUGUGUGUUAUGUGUGUUUUCAUGAGGGAAGGUGUGUGUGUGUGUGUAUAGUCACAGGACAGCUUUGGUGAGUGGGUUUCCUCCUCCCACCUUGUUGAGGCAGACACUCUCUGCUUCUGCAGUAACUCCAGGCUUGCCUUAGCAGUCUUUAGGUUGCUGGCAUGCCACCACAUUCACCUCUUUGAUGGGGGCUCGAGGAUUGAAAUUAGUUCAUCAGGCUUGUAAAACAAGCCCUUUUACCCCUCGAGCCUUCUUGCCUGCCCUGGGGGGAAAGAAUCUUGAGAGAGGAGAUAGAGGCUGGACAUUACCGUG
rnacentral:lncRNA from 1 species